ensembl:lincRNA Gm14246 predicted gene 14246
GCAUAGGCACAGAUGUGCACUCACACAUCAAUUUCUAAUGAAGGAAGCAGUCUUCGGCUAAGGAUGGAUGGGGUCUCAUGAGCAAACAACCCGCUCCAGUGUUGCGUGUCAUUGAGAGGCAACACAGAAUCUCACAAUGUCCUUAGCAAGAGUCACUCAAGGCAUUACCUUGCUGACUGCUGCACCAUUUAAUGACUGUUCUCUUUCUGGUCUCCUUUGAUGAGCCCUCUGUUCUGUCUUCAUCUCCAAGAUGACCAUUUGCCUUUAAACCCAUGCUUCAAGGUCUUUGCCCCAAGGGAAUCCAGAGCCAGAUACUGCCCUGUGAGGGAGAAAGAUUUUUAUUGACUCCCUUAGUUUAGACCAAAAAAGAAACGGAACCAGAGAAAGGUUGGCUAACUUGUGGAAGAUGAAAUGGCUGGAAAGAGACAAACCUUGGCAUCAAACUCAGGCUCAAAGUCUGUGUGGCAAACCCACCACUCCUGGGAGAACCACACAAUCACAGAGCGCUCUAGCUGCAUUGCCCUGGCUCUUGGAAACAGACGACAGGGCUAGGCCUCUUCUAAUCCAAGCAUCUCGACCAACAUCACAGAAGCAGAACAAAUAUUACAUGGUUCUCUGACCGUCCACCAUGUUUUAUUUCCAACUGAUCUCUCUCUGAAUUUCCUACUCC